UCGACGACAGUAGUGACGCGUAUUGGCCAGAGGAUGGUGGACGCCGGCUUGAGCCGCGUGGUUCCCAGCAACCUGUAUCCCCUCGUCCUCGGCUUCCUGCGUGAUAACCAACUCUCGGAGGUGGCCAAUAAGUUCGCCAAAGCGACAGGAGCUACAAAGCAGGAUGCCAAUGCCUCUUCCCUCUUAGACAUCUAUAGCUUCUGGCUCAAGUCUGCCAAGGCCCCAGAGCGAAAGUUACAGGCAAAUGGACCAGUGACUAAGUAAGCAAAGAAGAAGGCCUCAUCCAGCGACAGUAGUGAGGACAGCAGUUCAAGGGCCUCCAGCAAAGAAGGAUGCUAUAUCUGCCAAGCGAGUUGGUCUGCCUCCUCGGAAGGCUGCAGCCAAAGCAUCAGAGAGCAGCAGCAGUAAAGAAUCCAAUGAUGAUGAGGAGAGGAGGACCAAAAGAAACAGUCUGUCCAGAAGGAAGUUAAGCCCCAAGCCAAGGCAGCCAAAGUUCCUCCUAAGAAGGCCAAGAGCUCUGAUUCUGAUUCUGACUCAAGCUCUGAGGAUGAGCCACCAAAGAACCAGAAGCUAAAGAUAACACCUGUGGCAGCUAAACCUUAAGCUAAAGCCCCACCUAAACCAGCUCAAGCAGCACCUAAAGUAGUCAAUGGUAAAGCAGCCAGUAGCAGCAGCAGCAGCAGUGAUGACUCAGAGGAGGAGAAGGCAGCAGCCACCCCCAAGAAGACUGUACCUAAAAAGCAAGUUGUGGCCAAGGCCCCAGUGAAAGCAGCUGCCACCCCAACCCAGAAGAGUUCCAGCAGUGAGGAUUCUUCCAGUGAGGAGGAAGAACAGCAGAAAAAAAACAUGAAAAAUAAACCAGGUCCGUACAGUUCAGUAUCCCCACCUUCUGCUCCCCUACCAAAAAAGACCUUGGGAACCCAGCCUCCCAAGAAUGCUGUGGAGAAGCACCAGCCUGUGGAAAGCAGUGAAAACAGCAGCAAUGAGUCUGAUUCAAGUUCCGAAGAAGAGAAGAAACCCCCAGCUAAGGCAGUUGUCUCUAAAGCAACCACUAAACCACCUCCAGCAAAGAAAGCAGCAGAGAGCUCUUGAGACAGCUCAGACUCUGACAGCUCUGAGGAUGAUGAAGAUCCUUCCAAGCCAGCUGGUACUACCAAGAAUUCCUCCAAUAAGCCAGCUAGCACCACCAAGUCACCUGCAGCGAAGCCAGCUGCAGCCCCUAAGCAAUCUUUGGGUGGUGGCCAGAAGCCUCUCAUGCGAAAGGCUGACAGCAGCUCCAGUGAGGAAGAGAGCAGCUCCAGUGAGGAGGAGGAGACAAAGAAGACAGUGGCCACCACUAAGCCCAAGGUGACUGCCACAGCAGCUCCACCUCUGCCUGCCAAGCAGGCUCUUCAGGGUAGUAAGGACAGCAGCUCUGAUUCAGACAGCUCCAGCAAUGAGGAGGAGGAGGAAAAGAAGACAUCCAAGACCACAGUUAAGAAGCCACAGGAGGUAGCAGGAGGUGCAGCCCCUUCCAAGUCAGCCUCUGCAAAGAAAGGAAAGGCUGAGAGCAGCAGCAGUUCUUCCUCUGAUGAUUCCAGUGAGAAGGAAGAAGAGAAGCCCAAGGGCAAAGGCAAAGGCACUCCAAGACCACAAGCCCUCAAGGCCAACGGCACCUCUGCAAUGACUGUCCAGAAUGGAAAAGCAGCUAAGAACAGCGAGGAGGAGGAAGAAAAGAAAAAGGCAGCAGUGGCAGUUUCCAAACCAGGUUCAUUAAAGAAGCGGAAGCAGAAUGAGGCUGCCAAGGAGGCUGAGACUCCUCAGGCUAAGAAGAUAAAGCUUCAGACCCCUAACACAUUUCCAAAAAGGAAGAAAGGAGAAAAAGGAGCAUCAUCCCCAUUCCGAAGGGUCAGGGAGGAGGAAAUUGAGGUGGAUUCACGAGUGGCAGACAACUCCUUUGAUGCCAAGCGAGGUGCAGCUGGAGACGGGGGAGAGCGAGCCAAUCAGGUUUUGAAGUUCACCAAAGGCAAGUCCUUCUAGCAUGAGAAAACCAAGAAGAAGUGGGGCAGCUACCAGGGAGGUUCCAUCUCUGUUCAGGUCAAUUCCAUGAAGUUUGACAGUGAAUGACCUGGGGCCAUCUUUGGGGAAGCAGGGAUGAUGGUCAGAGACCACUCACUUUCUCCAGUGGACCUGGGAACCCUCAGCUCUCUAGGUGAGGGUCUUGAUGAGGACAGAAGUUUAGGGUAGGUCCUAAGACUUUACAAUUUAACAUCCUUUCUGGUCCUUUUCUGUGUUACCCAGUUUUGUACAGACUUGGUUUUGAGUGUUGUGUAACAGGGACAAAAUAAGGGAAUGUUAUUUUUUUAAGAAAAUUCAUUUUCAUUGUUGUCUCCUUCCUUUCCUAUGAAAGUCCUCAUUCUAGAAAUGUGUAUAUUUUAUAUUAAAUCAUUUCCUAUUGAUUUUUGUUGUGAUUUUCAAAGAUGGAUUCCCAUAUACAAAAACUUAGCUAUUGCCCAAGACAUAGUAAAGGGUCACAUGUAUGACUUUUUAUAAUUGGAAGAAAAUUCUGCUUUUGUGAGUGCACACGUUCACAUUUCAUCCAUCUUUCCCUCAAAACCCUAGCGAGGGGCAUUAAAGAAUGGCUGAUGGAUAAGCAAUGUCAUGUUAAGCAUGCACUGUGUAUUUCAUCCUCAUUUAGUGGGUCUGGGACUGAGGUUUUUAGCCAGCAUGGACCUAACCUACUUUUUGGGAUAAAAUUUACUGUUUUGUUACAGGCAAAAUUCAUACCACGGCAUUGUGGUAUGAAUGCUGUGGGUCAUUUUGAAUAUAUUUUUUCUGUAAUUUUAUCAUUACAUGAUGUUUGCAAUACACACUUUGUUUUUUAAUUUGAAAGCAAACUUUCCUACUGUUGAUAGACAUUUUUUGACAACUUGACCCUUCCUAGUAUUGAGUACUAAAUUGAGGACUGCAUCGUAUUUCACAGUAUAGAGAACAAAAUGACAUUAAUUUGAAAAAUACAUAUCACUUAGUAUUGCUGUCUUGGUUGCAGUGGUGACAUAGAAUUGGUUUCAUUAAUUCCUACAUGGUUGAGAAUCAAGAAAGUGGGGAAAAGAAAAACUCAAUCCUCAGUAGGAAGGUAGGUUACACUAGAUGAAUUUAUUGGUAAUCUAUGUAUGUGCUAAUGGGGUUGAAAGAACCUUACAGAGCAUAUUACCUGAUAAACUUGAGUGGAGUGGGUUUGGGAGAACAAACUAACAGGAUUAUUGUGUCUCAUAGUUGGUACAUGGGUCUCGUAGUUGGUAAUUGGGAGCAAUUGAUGUGCCCCCUUGAGAACCUUAACUGUUAGUAACAGUGGCUAUAACAACACAAACCAGUGACCAGAGAUACAGCUCUUAGGCCAAGUUGGCCUGUGGGUAUGGCUGCAGUUAUGGCCUGUGGGUAUGGCUGAUCAAUGGUGGUACUCAGCCAGAACAAGAUGGAGAGGGAAGAGUCCACAGCUUUCUGGAGGCUACGGUGUUUGGGUGGUAGGAAAGUGUGUCCCAAGGCUUCAUGGAUGAUUUGUAGGUCUUAAGAUUAGUCUCCUCUUGUUUGGAUUCCACACUCGCUAAAUAACCUGAUAAUAACCUGGUUUUCCAUGUAACUACCUCUAGGAAGAAAAUAUACUGUUCAUGCUGACACCUAUAUUCCAGUCUGCAUGGUAAAAGUUCUACAUCUUACUAUAAAAUAAUAAACUGGCUGGUUUAU